GCGCGGGGUUCCCAGGGCUAGAGACCCACACUGGCCUUGGCCCACUAAGCGGGAAGCUUUGCGCGAGUAGACCUUGAUUCCCGCGACAGUAGCUUGCUUUCCAUUUCUACCCCAGCGAUUCAAUGUUCUGCAGAAAUGGGACCGAGGCAACUUGCUGCCUGUCCGAAAAGGAGCCCUGCAUGGUAGCGCAGAACUGACGAGUCUAGUGCCUCUUCCAGAGACUCGCAGAAUCCGCCUAUAGAGCUGUGGAAUAUUGCAGUUUGAACUGACCCCCUAGGACAACUAGAAGCGCUAGCCAGAAGCUUUUGUCAUGGGAUGCUUUAAUGCUUCGAAAAUUGUUCUCAACUGUGUCCUUCAGCAAACUAGAUAAAGAGACAGUAAGAUUGUUUAUUGAUUAUUUCCAUCAAUAUUGCUUGGCAUAGUUGGCAGGAUAUCAGAAAAACCCAUCUGAGGUUACCUGAAGUCUAUACUGGACCAGCGCCUUGGUACCAAGCACAGCCCCUUGAGCCCCCCUGGCUUCACAGAACCCUUCAGGUCUUCAUUUAUUGCUAAAGGUUUCUCUUCAAUUGUGAGAAAGUUUAUUACUGAUCACUUCAAAACAUUAACAUGCUGGGAAAGAUCCUAAUGCAGUAGCACAACUUACGUGCUCUACAGACAUCAUUCUCCAAUUUGCCAUUUAUGGAUGAGUAAUAUGCAUUAAA